UACGGGGGGGCAAGCGUUGUUCGGAAUUACUGGGCGUAAAGGGCGCGUAGGCGGCCACCGCAAGUCAGUUGUGAAAUCUCUGGGCUUAACCCAGAACGGUCAGCUGAUACUGCGGGGCUAGAGUGCAGAAGGGGCAACUGGAAUUCUCGGUGUAGCGGUGAAAUGCGUAGAUAUCAGGAGGAACACCGAUGGCGAAGGCAGGUCUCUGGGCAUUAACUGACGCUGAGGAGCGAAAGCAUGGGGAGCGAACAGG
rnacentral:rRNA from 1 species